UGAAAAGCAAAUGAACUUAUGUUUUAUGCUUUUUAAGAUGUCUAACAGAGUACAAAAGUUCAUCUUUAAUAGGAGGGCAACACAGAGUGCUUAGAGCUGCAGUUUGACACAGAUACAGAGCUAAAAUGCCUUUGAAGUACCUUCUGAUUCCUCAUUCUGCCUGAAGUAACUUUAGAUUUAUGCAGCAGAUGGGAAAUAGUCCCUCGUUACGUGGCUCUCUACUCCAGCACUGACUCCAAGAUAAGGCAGCCUUAUUGCAUCCGCACGCCUUAGAAGAGCUCUUAGACAGUGCUUUAGUCUUCAGGGGCCUGAGUCUGUAGUUUGCAUAUUUUUUUUCUGUUUUUCUCUAAAAUUACUCUUGAUAAGUCUAACAUGUUUUGAGCAUCUUCAAAGGAGAACGUGGAGGAGAAAAGUUUGUCGGUGCAGCAGAGGUGAUUCAUUUUAAUUCAUUUGAAAACAGCUCUGCGUGUUCGGGGAAAGAGCUCGUGGAGAAGCGACAGGGAAUGGCCUCGCCGUGACCCCAGCCUCAAACACGCCAGCUUUGAAGAAGUCUCUAAAAAAGCUUUUGUGCCAGUCCCGUGACUGCAAACCCCAGCGCAGCCUGUGUUCCCGGAGCUUCAACUCCCUGCCUGCUCCGUGCAAGGUUGCUUGCAAGAUUGUCCAGAACGUGCCGUGAUAGCAUCACCCUCCGAGACCCCAUGCGAUGACUUCUGAAGCCUCCUAGCCCAUCGCCCCUGUGGGCACCAGUGCAGACGCAGUCUCCUCUCCUGGCCCACCCUGCAAAACUCCAGCACGUAUGACAUGGCAUCGUGCUCAGCUGCCUUGCGUGCUCGUUGCUGCCUUAUUCCUGCCUUUGUGUCUAAUGCUGGAGAGCUGCUGAAGCCAGGUACCCUGUAGGUGUCCCUGAAAUGGCUUGUGUGAGGGGGGAGAGCAUGGGGGGGCUCACAUAAUUGAAACAAUCCUUCUCUCAAUCACCGUUCUGCAAUGUUUAUGCCUCACGCUUUGCCUCUGAUGUUGAGAGCAAGCUGAUAGCCACGGUAUUAAUAAGUUGUUUGUACAAUAAUUGCUGCUUAAGAUAAAUGAUUCAUAAAGUCCUACCAUAGCCUUGGAAAUGGUGUAAACAGGGGGAGCAGCUGGAGGACAGCAGUGGGAUGCUAAUGAGAGACCACCACGGGGAAGUAAAUGUAUGAAGACUGGGGAGAAGGGGGACUAAUCCAGCCCCAAGUGCUAGAGAGCAUCCCACUUCCAGUGCUCACCUGCAGCACAGAAGCAGAGCCCGAGCUGUCCA
ensembl:lncRNA